GACGAACGCUGGCGGCGUGCCUAAUACAUGCAAGUAGAACGCAGUUGCGAACGGGUGAGUAACGCGUAGGUAACUGCCUCAUAGCGGGGGAUACAUAUUGGAAACGUUAGAUAAUACCCCAUACCGUGGGCUGGACCUGCGUUGUAUUAGCUAGUUGGUGAGGGAAAGGCUCACCAAGGCGACGAUACAUAGCCGACCGGAGAGGGUGAUCGGCCACACUGGUACUGAGACACGGCCCAGACUCCUACGGGAGGCAGCAGUGGGGAAUCUUCGAAAAUGGACGGAAGUCUGAUCGAGCAACGCCGCGUGAGUGAAGAAGGUUUUCGGAGCGUAAAGCUCUGUUGUUAGAGAAGCGGAAACUAACCAGAAAGAGACGGCUAACUACGUGCCAGCGGCCGCGUAAUAC
rnacentral:rRNA from 1 species